GGACGAGCGCUGGCGGCGUGCUUAACACAUGCAAGUCGAACGGAAAGGCCCUGCUUUUGUGGGGUGCUCGAGUGGCGAACGGGUGAGUAACACGUGAGUAACCUGCCCUUGACUUUGGGAUAACUUCAGGAAACUGGGGCUAAUACCGGAUAGGAGCUCCUGCUGCAUGGUGGGGGUUGGAAAGUUUCGGCGGUUGGGGAUGGACUCGCGGCUUAUCAGCUUGUUGGUGGGGUAGUGGCUUACCAAGGCUUUGACGGGUAGCCGGCCUGAAAGGGUGACCGGCCACAUUGGGACUGAGAUACGGCCCAGACUCCUACGGGAGGCAGCAGUGGGGAAUAUUGCACAAUGGGCGGAAGCCUGAUGCAGCAACGCCGCGUGCGGGAUGACGGCCUUCGGGUUGUAAACCGCUUUCGCCUGUGACGAAGCGUGAGUGACGGUAAUGGGUAAAGAAGCACCGGCUAACUACGUG
rnacentral:rRNA from 1 species